GCCCAGUUAGCUUAGUUGGUAGUGCGUCUGCCUUGUAAGCGCUAGGCCGCGGGUUCGAUUCCCGCCCGAGGCG
rnacentral:tRNA from 1 species